UAAGACACGUUUUUAGUAUUGGUAAGACUGACUCCGCCCAACAGGAAGUCGGCCAUUUUGAAAAAAGUGCAUUUUACACACAUUUUUUGCAUACUUUGUCAAACUCCUCCUAGGGAAUUCGUUGAAUACUCUUGAUAUUUGUCAGCAAUAAACUACUAACAGACCUGAUGAUAAAUUGCGAAGGAAUAGUCGAUAUCUUAAACGAGGACGAAAUGGCGGACAGUUGAGUUGCUGGAGAUACCCCAUUAAAACAGGAAGUGAAUACAUUCUGGUGUUGGUAGGUGUUUGAGGAGGUUAAAAAGUAUGAAAACUCACAAAACUUUACAGGCCUGCUUGAUUUACGUGGUUCUUUGGUCUGAAAUUGAAAUUUCAUAUAUACGCAUUUCAUUGGCUCUAUAGCGCCACCUAGGUUGCAAUGAAUAUGUGACAUUACGGGAAUGCUCAAAAACUCUUGAAAAUUGUCAGAUUGCGUAGGACCUAAAAACACUUUACAAAUAUUGUGAAAUAUUUUUCAUAUGUAGCUAGCGGACUCUACAGCGCCCCCUAAUUUGUUCAGUUAAUAAAUUAGCUGUGGAUGUGUCAAAAUUUGUCUAAUCUUCUCAAAUUUUGGUAGGAUCGUAGAUAGUAUGACCCUGCACAUAUUUGCAAUUGGCUUGUAUUAGCUCCGCCCAACAGGAAGUCGGCCAUAUUGGAAUUUGUAAUAUUUUUACAAAUUUUUCACAAACUAAUUUAAACUGCUCCUAAAGUCUUUGUCAGAUUACCUCUUGUUUCGCUGUAAAUGAACAACAGACAUAUUUGAUGAUAAUUGCCAAAGGAUUAGUUGAUCGGUAAAACGGUGACCCAAUGGCGAGCAAUUGAGUCACUAGAGACGCAACACUAAACCAAAGUGAAACCAUGACAUGGUCAGAAAACAGAUUAUUGAAAAUUCAUGAAACUUGGCAAAAACACAAAAGACAUCAUUACACACAUUUUCAGCAUUGGUAGGACUGACUCUGCCCAACAGGAAGUCGGCCAUUUUGAAAUAUCUGCAUUUUACACACAUUUUUUGUGUACAUUGUCAAACUACUCCUAGCAAAUUUGAUGAAUUCUCUUGGUAUUUGGUAAAAAUAAACAUUGAACAUAUCUGAUGAUAAAUUGUGAAGGAAUAGUCGAUAUCUCAAACGAGGACGAAAUGGCAGAUGGUUGAAUUUUUGAGAUCCCACAUCAAAACAGGAGGUGAAAACCUAGGUAAUGCCAGGUGUUUUGAGGAGGUUAUAACGGAGAAAAACUCAUAAAAUUUGACCAGCCUGCUUAUCUAAGGCUGUUGUUUGAUGUAGAAUUAGAAUUUCAAAUACAUGUAUUUUAACAGCGCCAUAGCGCCACCUGUAUUUUAAAUGGAUAUUUCACAUGUUUAACAGGAUAGAAAACUCUUGAAAAUUGGCACACUCAAUAAGACCUCAAAAUUACUUUUACCGGUUUCUCGGUUUGGCCCGGUACGAUUUGCGCUGUUGUGCGAGGGCCCUACGUCCCCCUGUGACAGGGGGACAACUCGUUAUUAUUAGGGCCCGAGCACCGAAGGCGCAGGCGAAGCCUGCACCGGAGGUGCAAAGCCCUAUUGUUUUUGGUCCGUUUAUUAUUAUUA